rnacentral:rRNA from 1 species
UACGAAGGGGGCUAGCGUUGUUCGGAAUUACUGGGCGUAAAGCGCACGUAGGCGGAUUGUUAAGUCAGGGGUGAAAUCCCGGGGCUCAACCCCGGAACUGCCUUUGAUACUGGCAUUCUCGAGUCCGGAAGAGGUGAGUGGAAUUCCGAGUGUAGAGGUGAAAUUCGUAGAUAUUCGCAAGAACACCAGUGGCGAAGGCGGCUCACUGGCCCGAUACUGACGCUGAGGUGCGAAAGCGUGGGGAGCAAACAGG